rnacentral:rRNA from 1 species
AUUGAACGCUGGCGGCAUGCCUUACACAUGCAAGUCGAACGGUAACAGGCCGCAAGGUGCUGACGAGUGGCGAACGGGUGAGUAAUGCAUCGGAACGUGCCCAGUCGUGGGGGCUACCUGCUCGAAAGAGCAGCUAAUACCGCAUCCGACCUGAGGGUGAAAGCGGGGGACCGAAAGGCCUCGCGCGAUUGGAGCGGGCGAUGUCAGAUUAGGUAGUUGGUGGGGUAAAGGCCUACCAAGCCGACGAUCUGUAGUUGGUCUGAGAGGACGACCAGCCACACUGGGACUGAGACACGGCCCAGACUCCUACGGGAGGCAGCAGUGGGGAAUUUUGGACAAUGGGGGCAACCCUGAUCCAGCAAUGCCGCGUGCAGGAAGAAGGCCUUCGGGUUGUAAACUGCUUUUGUCAGGGAAGAAAUCCUGUGGGUUAAUACCUCGUGGGGAUAACGGUACCUGAAGAAUAAGCACCGGCUAACUACGUGCCAGCAGCCGCCGUAAUAC